CAAAACGUAGCUAAACAUAAAGCAUUCAGCUUACACCUGAAAGAUACCUGCUCACAUCCAGGUCGUUUUGA
rnacentral:tRNA from 1 species